UUACAGUAUGAGUUAUAAAUAUCUUACUUAAAAACUUAAAAGUGCUUAAAUAAUUCCAUAUUUGUCAUUCGAUUAUUGUAUGUUAUUUAUUUGCUAUUAGCAAAGCCUUAUUGUGAUGUUAUUGAGGUACGAGGAGAUUUAAAACCAGAUCAAGGUGCUCGACCUGAAGUCUCAAGAGUUCAAACAAGAAUCAGAGAUGAUGGAGCAAACCAUCACCACUAUGCCAGAUGUUAUAGCGGAGCUACAGUAAGAAAUACUGUAAACAAUAUAUGUUUGACCAUAUAAAUAUUAGACUUCCAUGCUUGUUUUUAUUUGUUGUCUAUUUCAGGGGUUUGUCAAACACUAUGGCGUUCAAACAUGGGACAGUCACAGUAGUGAUGGGUAAUGUGCACAGGGAUAUAGCUUCCUGUCAACAGAGGAAGUCUCAUCACGCACAGAUUCACUCAACGCCGGGCUGUCAUGAAGGACACAGAGGGUAAUCUACAUGAAGCAACUAAAAGCCAAUCUGAAGUUGGCUCAAGAGUACCGAGAGCUGCAGAAAGUUCUGAUGAUUGCCAGACAAGAAGCCGUUUGUGUUUUUGACAUAAGAAACAGAGCAGAGGCCUACAUCCAAGAUCACAAGCAGCUUUCUUUGUUGCAGAAGAGGAUGCACAAAGCCAUGCUAAAAUACUUCAAACGCCGCAGCGUCUACAGCCAGGCAGAGCUGGCCCGCUUCCAGACCCUCUCCAACCAGAACAACCAGAAAAUGAAAGCCCUCCAGGAGAAGUUGUCAAACGCAAUCCAUCACCUCUCUGAGUUCCUGCUCUCACUGACAGAUGACUCAACUACCAGCCAUGUCCCGCAGCAAGCAAACAGACCCGUCGCAGAUGCCGAUGGAUGGAGCAGGAAGAUGCCUACAGUUCAGAUAGCGGAGUAAUUGGACGCUCACCUGCGCCAGACAACUUACUUAAACCCCCAGCAUGCUUCACUCUCUCCCCUGUCCGACGCUCACGGCCCAAUCCAUAACAAUGAAGCAGGUGACUUUCAUGCUACUGUCAGGAAUGAUCUAAUUUUAGCGGGGUGAAUGAUUGCAAUUGGCUUUGCCUCGUCAGAUAAUUAAUCUAUGUCACCAUUAAUUGGAAAAGAGAAUAAUUAGGGGGCUGUGUUGACAGAAAUUCUACGCUUCUCUAGAUUCUUGGAUCUAAUUACACCUACUUAAAACUCUCUGACCUUAACUACCGGAUAGUAUACCUGCGUAACCCUAACCAGGCUCGGGUUGGUCUCGACCGCCUCUCGCUCUGUGUCCUUUGUCAUUUUUUUCCUCCUUUCUUGCUUGUUUAUCCUCUCUUUUCCUGUCUCCUCAGAGAGCUGUCUCCCUCAAUCACUUUUCAAUAUUCAAU
rnacentral:lncRNA from 1 species